rnacentral:rRNA from 1 species
GAUGAACGCUGGCGGCGUGCCUAACACAUGCAAGUCGAACGAAGAACCUUACCUGAUUCUUGGAUGAAAGUUUGGUGACUCAGUGGCGGACGGGUGAGUAACGCGUGGGUAACCUGCCCUGUACAGGGGGAUAACAGCUGCAAACGGCUGCUAAUACCGCAUAAGCGCACGAGGAGACAUCUCCUUGUGUGAAAAACUCCGAUGGUACAGGAUGGGCGCGCGUGUGAUUAGCUGGUUGGGAGGGUAACGGGCUACCAAGGCAACGAUCACUAGCCGGGAUCUGAGAAAGGGUCGAGACACUGGAGGGAGGAAGCAGUAGGGAAUCCUACGGAAUGGAGGAAAGGCGGACGGAGCAAAGCGGCGGGAGUCAUGAAGGAGUUAGGCUGGGAGAGUGCAGAAAUUAUGGAGUAAGUAAAGUGUAAGCAACAAGGAAGGUAAUGACGGUACCUAACUAGAAAGCUACGGCUAAAUACGUG